GCAUCCGGAGUAAAGCCCAGUAAGAAAUGGCGCAUGCGGACGUGAGUAGAUUAAGUUAAAAACACAGAUUGGCCAUCUUGGAGCCAGUCUCUAGUUAAGCAAUGAGGGAGUGUGGUAUAUGGCAAAUAUACCACGGCUAAGGGCUGUUCUUGUUUUAUUUAUUUCACCUUUAUUUAACCAGGUAGGCCAGUUGAGAACAAGUUCUCAUUUACAACUGCGACCUGGCCAAGAUAAAGCAAAGCAGUGAGAUACAAACAGCAACAUAGAGUUACACAUGGACUAAUCGAAUGUACAGUCAAUAAUACAACAGACAAAAUCUAUAUCCAGUGUGUGCAAAUGAGGUAAGAUUAGGGAAGCAAGGCAAUAAAUAGGCCGUAGUGGCGAAGUAAUUACAAUUUAGCAAUUAACACUGGAGUGAUAUACCAUGGCUGUCAGCCAAUCAGCAUCCAGGAGCCAAACUACCCAGUUUAUAAUGAAGAACCGAGGAGGUGAGGUAUAAUCUGUAGAUUUACUUGAUUUAUCUUGCCCUGAAUGAAACUUUGUCAUAUUGACACACAUGUUCAAGGGGCAAUUCUAAACAAAUAAAUACCAGCCAGGUACCCUCUAUCUAACAGGGUUCUAUGGCUGUCCCCAUAGGAUAUCCCUUUUUGGUUCCAUGUAGAACCCAUAAAAGGGUUCUCCUAUGGCAGGGGAAGGCAACCUUUGUUCCUGGAGUGCUGCAGGAUUUUUGUUCCAACUAGGCACCACACCAGAUCGAGCUAAUUGAUCAGUUGAGUGAUUGCCUAAAUUCAACACACCCAGUUUCCCAGUCGUUUGUGUGGCCGCUUCCCUUCGGAGGUCUGUAGACAUGUUCCGCCCUUUCAGACUGGUCUUUAAGGCUGUGGUCAACAACACAUUUAACAACAGUAUUGAGGUAGGUGUCCUGAGUGGAGGCCUGGAACUGUGAGGAGUGGACCGCGAACAAAGCGUGUCACAUCAACAGCGCCUCCCUCAUCUACCAGCUGUCUAACACACCUGGAGACGUACCUGCCUGUCCCCUCAAGUCACAUACACAAACAAGGACUGGGAGAGGAGAUACCUGUCUGCCAUCGUAAGGAAGAUAAUUAUUGAUGGCUAGAAAGCACACCCUGUCCUGUAAGGAGGAGGCUCCUAUCUCUGUCCCCCGGGAUAAAAGGAACCAGGUGUAUCUGGGUUUUAACAAUGUAGCAGCUCUGACUGUACUGACUGGGGAAACAAGACUGGGGAUGCCAGCAGCAUCAAUGACAGGAUCGGUGUGUUUGUCCAUGAGGAGGAGCUGCUUUGUGUCCCAAGCUCAGAUGGUCAUGACCUUUGCCCUCCAUGCCUUCACCCUAUUGGCUAACCUCACACUGCAACCUCUUUGGGGGACAUUAUCUCUGUGAGGAGGUAGAGGGGGCCGAUGAGGAGGAGACGGUGUACCACAUUAAAUGCCCCCCCCAAAUCAACGGAAGCAAGAGCCGAAAUUUUGUGUUCCCGUUGUCAAAGAGACAGUCCUGCAACGAGUAAAGGUACCCCUAUGUGCUAGGCCUGAGGUCUGUAACCGUGGAAACAUCUCCCCCCCCUGACCUCACCUUCUGGACGAUAGCGGGGUGAACAGGCAGUGGCUCGGGUGGUUGUUGUCCUUGACGAUCGUUAGCCCUCACGAUUCAGAGACAAUGUGUUAAAACCAUGUGUUCCAGGUGUGUUACCACAACCAGGUGACGUCAGGCGUGUUGCCGCAUGUAACCUGGCAGGCUGGUCUAAGUCUAUGGAGGAGACGGCUAGCACACGUACCACCUUCCUGGAGAGAGACACCACACACACACACACUAAACCGGAGUCUGAUGGUUGAAUUGAUACUA